GUUUUCACGGUCUCUGGGAUUUUGCAGUACUUUUGCCACAGUGCACUCCCAAUCACCAUGGUAUUUAGACUCUAAAUUAAAACCCUCUUCUGAGCCUUGUAAUGAUGCUAACUUCCUGUUUGAAGAGAACUGCCUUCCAGGCCUGGCUUUUUCCACUGCUCUGGAUUCUGUCCUUAAUGAAAUCUUAAAAUAAUGAAGCAUACAUUUUAUUAUAAACAUUAUUAAAAACAGUUUCUUAAACUUCAGUGCUAUGCAGCUGUUUUAUAGUAGGUUACAUGGUAUAAAUAAUUUUCAAUAAUAACAUAAAUAUAAUAUUAAGCUUAUGUGGAUGUAUAUAUUCUGAACUAAAAUAGGGGACUACUGAGAACUUUGCCCACAUGACUUUGAAACUAUGACCUUUCCUUUUCUGUAAUUCCGCCCCUCCCCCCCUUUCUGGUUUAUUUUUAGUCUGAAGUGAGCUAUGGUCCAGGAAGCCAGCACAGCCUUGGAUAUUGUGUCCAACAUAGGUGAAAAAACAGCAACGCGAUGGCAGUAUGAGAAUGGGAUGGGGAGGGAAGAUUUCACUGAGA